GGUCACUUCAUUUAUGUCUCUUCACAUCAUCUGCUGCCAUUACGUUCUCUGAAGCAGACUUGGGGUCAAGGAGAGGUCAGGAGUAAAGAACGCUCAGGUUUCAUUUGAACCGCAGAGGAAAGUACCACGAUGAUGAUGAUGUGGGUGGAUGGACCAACCAGGCAUCCGUCCAGUAGUCAAUCAAGUCAUCCCUCCAUCCACACAUGUGCAUCAAUCUGUUCAUCUCAACUGCCUGGUGUAGAUCAUGGGUUAAUGGCGAAGAGGGGGCGGAGCUAAUCCCAUUUGAGCUGGGAUUUCCAUCCAGACAGUAAAACAUUAUACAUUUGUGACGUUACUAAUACUGUACAUGGGUGAAUGUCUUUUAAUGCUAUCUUUAAAAUAAAGGACAUAAAUGUUCUUUCAAAAAGUGAAAUGUUGUGUUUUUCACAGUUAUUUUACUUCUGAUGGAUUUAAAAAAAUGCAAAUUUGAGAAUUUAUAUGGAAAUUAUCUUAUUUUGAAAAUAAAAAGAUUCUGUUAAAUCAAAGAUUUUUUUUAAAGUGCAAUCAGAAUUAUCUGUCGUGAAUCAAACUAUGUCCAUGAACAGAAAGAGGUACUGACACAUACUAAAGCACAGAUAUCAAUCUUUUUUUUUUUUUCAAACGAUAACACACGCUGUAUUUUUCCUGUUUAUAAAGGGAAGUUCUUCUGUGACAGUUCUUCACAUUACAUUGCAGAUGAUGCAUUCAUUCUGCUGGGGAAACCCUUACAGCCUGCUUUUUCAACAACCAGGAGUAUUACUCAACAAUACUACAGUACAUGCUCUGCUACAACUACAUACAGUACUACAACUAUUAAAAACAAAACUGAUCAAGUAAUUUUACCAACAGACAAAAGAACAUGCAUCACUCUCUUUUUUAAGCCUCGCUGAUCAGUAUUUUUUUUCUAUUAUAUUGGAUUAAAAUAAAUCUCAGUUGUUGUAAAUCACAACCAUAGUUCUACGUAUAAUUGUAUGUUACUGGUGAGUGAUCCUGUCAGUAGUGCUGUGCUGGCAGCCGUGAGGAGGAUGUUUGUACAUUUGUGCAAAUGAAAAACUGAAAUCACACUCCUCUCUCUCUCUCUCUCUCUGUCUCUCUCUCUCUCUCUCUCUCCCUCCCUCCAGCUUUAUCUCGUUAUUAGCUGUAAACUCUCGUUGCACCCCUUGCUUUGAAUACUUCCGGGCGAUACUACAACUUCAGAUAUCAUGUGAUUUGAAGCCUUGAACAGGAGCUAUUUU